rnacentral:rRNA from 1 species
UAUAUCAACCUCGCCUGGUGUCCCACUGAAGCUAAGCAGGGUUGAGGCUGGCCAGUACCUGGAUGGGAGACCUCCUGGGGUAAACCAAGGUUGCUGCUGGAA